GCUUGUGUAGCUUAAAACAAAGCACGACACUGAAGAUGUCGAGAUGGACCUUGAAAAGUCCCGUGAGCA
rnacentral:tRNA from 1 species